CCUCGGGAGGCUGCAGUGGGGAAUAUUGGACAAUGGGCGAAAGCCUGAUCCAGCCAUGCCGCGUGUGUGAAGAAGGCCUUCGGGUUGUAAAGCACUUUCAGUGGGGAAGAAAGCCUUGGGGCUAAUACCCUCGAGGAAGGACAUCACCCACAGAAGAAGCACCGGCUAACUCCGUGCCAGCAGCCGCGGUAAUACGGAGGGUGCGAGCGUUAAUCGGAAUUACUGGGCGUAAAGCGCGCGUAGGCGGUCUGAUAAGCCGGUUGUGAAAGCCCCGGGCUCAACCUGGGAACGGCAUCCGGAACUGUCAGGCUAGAGUGCAGGAGAGGAAGGUAGAAUUCCCGGUGUAGCGGUGAAAUGCGUAGAGAUCGGGAGGAAUACCAGUGGCGAAGGCGGCCUUCUGGACUGACACUGACGCUGAGGUGCGAAAGCGUGGGUAGCAAACAGGAUUAGAUACCCGUGUAGUC
rnacentral:rRNA from 1 species